CAUAUUAGUCAUAUUUGUAGGCAU
rnacentral:miRNA from 1 species